UACGAAGGGGGCUAGCGUUGCUCGGAAUUACUGGGCGUAAAGGGCGCGUAGGCGGACAGUUAAGUUGGGGGUGAAAGCCCGGGGCUCAACCUCGGAAUUGCCUUCAAUACUGGCUAUCUUGAGUGUGAGAGAGGUGUGUGGAACUCCGAGUGUAGAGGUGAAAUUCGUAGAUAUUCGGAAGAACACCAGUGGCGAAGGCGACACACUGGCUCACUACUGACGCUGAGGCGCGAAAGCGUGGGGAGCAAACAGG
rnacentral:rRNA from 1 species